CGCCUCAUAGGAAGCUGGCUGCCGUUGACCGUACCUCUAUUUGCAGUGUAACGUGUGCCAUGCACAGCCCAUCCGGCUCAGAGCCACUUAGCUUUGCUUCACUGUUUCACUGUCUGAACAAGGCCGCUCAUGAGAAACCCCAUAAUACAAUUGAGGCACCUCGGGGGCACCAUAUACAUUUAUUAAAGAAAAAUGUCAAGAAGAAAGCAUUUAACUUAGAGCUUGGAAAAUGGUCAAUAGUAGGUUUCCAAAGCCCUGGAGAGAGUACCUUAUGA
rnacentral:lncRNA from 1 species